AUUUGAUGAUAUGGACAUUGUAUUUGUAACUCUUCAAAUCUUUCCCAAGCUUCAAAGAAUUCUUCCGUAUGUUUUUGGCUAGAAGUUUGGAUCUUGUUUCUUAACUC
rnacentral:snoRNA from 1 species